GUCCACGCCGGGCGUGCUCCAGGGUUCCCGGCUGUUGAACCCCCGGCUCCGGUGUCUUGUUAGUGUCGCGAGUUUAGGCUGGCGGAAUCGAGGACUGGUGUAGUUCUCUGGCUUUAACAGCGGCCACCGUUGCAUUACUCUUCAGGGACCUUUCGCCGUCUCAUAUCUUAGGCAACUGAUACCAGCGUGCCGCACCGGGCCGGUUUUCCGGGUGAGAAAGCUGAGGAAUCGGAGGACUUGCUUCGGGUGACGGUGACUGUUACCAGCCCUGCCCGGCAUCUCUGUCAUCUCUGCUUUUUCAAAGGGCUCUGUGGUUGGAUUUGAGGCUCCCCCGGCUCCCCAGAGCUGCCUGUUUAGUAGGAGUUGUAGGGUACCAGAUCUCAAAAUGUCCAGUUUGAUACGAACAAGGAAUACAGAAGGCUCGAAGAACAGGAAUUCGUUAGAAGAGUUGAGUGGCUUUCGGAGUGGACAUAGCAAAUUCCCUGAACAGGCCUGUUGGAAAAUGGGGCUUUUGCCAACAGUUUAGUGGUCUGCUGAAGGAGAACCUAUCACAUUCCUGUUUUCUAAGCCCAAGCUGGUCUCACAACUGGAGCAAGGUGAAGAGCUGUGGAUUCCUGAUGCCCCAAGAUCUCCUGAUCUGGCGCUUAUUCCAAUCUGUUCUGCAGGGUUGCAUGGUGACUAAAUGGGGUUUCCGGGACUCAGGCCACUGCUCUUCUUGCCCACUCAGCGUCUCUCCCACGUCCUCUACAGCGUGGGAGAUCAGACAGCAGAUUCGUGGGUGCUUGAGUCACCAGGGAAUUGUCUGGGAGCAGAAUAUAUGAAGCAGAAGGAUAACAGGUAGUAUGAGUCUGGGAAAAAUACCUUUUUAGAGUUUCCUCAUCACCCUAACGUGGCUUCGUCCUAUUUUCUAUGGUUUUCAUCUUCCACUCCUUAGUGUCUCAUUGGAGCCUCUGCUCUGCCUUGUGGGUGAUGUUGGAGGUGGAGAAGGUGGCCCUCCUGCUCAUGUUUCCACCCUCAGAAUGACCUGAGCUGUGCAGCUCCAGGUCCCUCAUUUGUGUCAGGCGGUCAACGUGUCCUCUCUGCACUCCUCUCGGCCCUCCUGUCCGCGCUCUUGUCCACGCUCCUCCCUGCGCUCCUCUCCGCAUUCCUGUCCGUGCUCCACCCUGCGCUCCUCCCUGCCCUCCUCUCUGCGCUCCACCCAACCUUCAACUUCCAGUGAAGAAGCAGGAUAUUCUGAACUUCAGUGAUACACGGGAUGCGAGUUUCAGAAUACUUUUUGCACUCUGCCCUUUCUUCACUGGUGGAAUUUCCUGCCUACGUUUUCCACGUGGACAUGUUCACAGGGGUCAGUGUUUUCUCUCCAACCAGACAGCAAGUGCUAUCUUGGCAAAAUCGCCACCCAUAUUCCCUGGACAGUCACCACCGUGCCAAACAGAGCGAUGGGCACAAAGAAAAUUCACAGAAAAUUCACAGUGAAUGCUGGCAAAUUUGAAAAAGUGUUGGGAAUAUAAAAACUUAUCUCAUUCAUUUGUUCUGCAG